AAUGGAACCAAAUUAAAGCUAACAGAUCUAUUUGGGGAGGAAAGAAGGCCAGAGUUCGAUACACUACACUCCAGUUGCCAAAGGAUAAAGGUGGAAUGGC